AGUGAACGCUGGCGGUAGGCCUAACACAUGCAAGUCGAACGGCAGCACAGGAGAGCUUGCUCUCUGGGUGGCGAGUGGCGGACGGGUGAGGAAUACAUCGGAAUCUACUCUGUCGUGAGGGAUAACGUAGGGAAACUUACGCUAAUACCGCAUACGACCUACGGGUGAAAGCAGGGGAUCUUCGGACCUUGCGCGAUUGAAUGAGCCGAUGUCGGAUUAGCUAGUUGGCGGGGUAAAGGCCCACCAAGGUGACGAUCCGUAGCUGGUCUGAGAGGAUGAUCAGCCACACUGGAACUGAGACACGGUCCAGACUCCUACGGGAGGCAGCAGUGGGGAAUAUUGGACAAUGGGCGCAAGCCUGAUCCAGCCAUACCGCGUGGGUGAAGAAGGCCUUCGGGUUGUAAAGCCCUUUUGUUGGGAAAGAAAUCCAGCUGGCUAAUACCCGGUUGGGAUGACGGUACCCAAAGAAUAAGCACCGGCUAACUUCGUGCCAGCAGCCGCGGUAA
rnacentral:rRNA from 1 species